AACGAACGCUGGCGGCAUGCCUAACACAUGCAAGUCGAACGAGACCUUCGGGUCUAGUGGCGCACGGGUGCGUAACGCGUGGGAACCUGCCCUUAGGUUCGGAAUAACUCCCCGAAAGGGGUGCUAAUACCGGAUAAUGUCUUCGGACCAAAGAUUUAUCGCCUUUGGAUGGGCCCGCGUUGGAUUAGCUAGUUGGUAGGGUAAAAGCCUACCAAGGCGACGAUCCAUAGCUGGUCUGAGAGGAUGAUCAGCCACACUGGAACUGAGACACGGCCCAGACUCCUACGGGAGGCAGCAGUGGGGAAUAUUGGACAAUGGGCGAAAGCCUGAUCCAGCAAUGCCGCGUGAGUGAUGAAGGCCUUAGGGUUGUAAAGCUCUUUUACCCGGGAUGAUAAUGACAGUACCGGGAGAAUAAGCUCCGGCUAACUCCGUG
rnacentral:rRNA from 1 species